rnacentral:rRNA from 1 species
ACUCAAAUGAAUUGACGGGGGCCCGCACAAGCGGUGGAGCAUGUGGUUCAAUUCGACGCAACGCGAAGAACCUUACCUGGGCUCGAACGGCUUCCCAACGCCGGUAGAAAUAUCGGUACCCCGCAAGGGGGUGGAGUCGAGGUGCUGCAUGGCUGUCGUCAGCUCGUGUCGUGAGAUGUUGGGUUAAGUCCCGCAACGAGCGCAACCCUUGUCCUGUGUUGCCAUGUCGAAAGACGGAACUCGCAGGAGACCGCCAGCGAUAAGCUGGAGGAAGGUGGGGAUGACGUCAAGUCCUCAUGGCCUUUAUGUCCAGGGCUACACACGUGCUACAAUGGCCGGUACAAAGCGUCGCUAACCUGCGAAGGGGAGCCAAUCGCAAAAAACCGGUCUCAGUUCGGAUUGCAGGCUGCAACUCGCCUGCAUGAAGCUGGAAUCGCUAGUAAUGGCAGAUCAGCACGCUGCCGUGAAUACGUUCCCGGGCCUUGUACACACCGCCCGU